rnacentral:rRNA from 1 species
AACGAACGCUGGCGGCAUGCCUAACACAUGCAAGUCGAACGAGACCUUCGGGUCUAGUGGCGCACGGGUGCGUAACGCGUGGGAACCUGCACUUAGGUUCGGCAUAACUCCCCGACAGGGGUGCUAAUACCGGAUAAUGUCUUAUGACCAAAGAUUUAUUGCCCUUGGGUGGGCCCGCGUUGGAUUAGCUAGUUGGUAGGGUAAAAGCUUACUAAGGCGACGAUCCACAGCUGGUCUGAGAGGAUGAGCAGCCACACUGGGACUGAGAAGCGGCCCGGACUCCUACGGGAGGCAGCAGUGGGGAAUAUUGGACAAUGGGCGAAAGCCUGAUCCAGCAAUGCCGCGUGAGUGAUGAAGGCCGUAGGGUUGUAAAGCUCUUUUAACCGGGAUGAUAAUGACAGUACCGGGAGAAUAAGCGCCGGCUAACUCCGUG